AUUGAACGCUGGCGGCAUGCCUUACACAUGCAAGUCGAACGGUAACAGGUCUUCGGAUGCUGACGAGUGGCGAACGGGUGAGUAAUACAUCGGAACGUGCCUAGUAGUGGGGGAUAACUACUCGAAAGAGUGGCUAAUACCGCAUGAGAUCUACGGAUGAAAGCAGGGGAUCGCAAGACCUUGUGCUACUAGAGCGGCCGAUGGCAGAUUAGGUAGUUGGUGGGAUAAAAGCUUACCAAGCCGACGAUCUGUAGCUGGUCUGAGAGGACGAUCAGACACACUGGAACGGAGACACGGCCCAGACUCCUACGGGAGGCAGCAGUGGGGAAUUUUGGACAAUGGGCGAAAGCCUGAUCCAGCAAUGCCGCGUGCAGGAUGAAGGCCUUCGGGUUGUAAACUGCUUUUGUACGGAACGAAAAGCCCCGGGUUAAUACCCUGGGGUCAUGACGGUACCGUAAGAAUAAGCACCGGCUAACUACGUGCCAGCCGCCGCCGUAA
rnacentral:rRNA from 1 species